rnacentral:rRNA from 1 species
GAUGAACGCUGGCGGUAUGCUUAACACAUGCAAGUCGAACGGGACCUUUCGGGGUCUAGUGGCGGACGGGUGAGUAACGCGUGAGGAUCUGCCCAUAGGUUCGGAACAACAGUUGGAAACGACUGCUAAUACCGGAUGUGCCGGGAGGUGAAAGCUUAAGUGCCUAUGGAUGAGCUCGCGUCUGAUUAGCUAGUUGGAGUGGUAACGGCACCCCAAGGCGACGAUCAGUAGCUGGUCUGAGAGGAUGAUCAGCCACACUGGGACCGAGACACGGCCCAGACUCCUACGGGAGGCAGCAGUGGGGAAUUUUUCCGCAAUGGGCGCAAGCCUGACGGAGCAAGACCGCGUGAGGGAAGAAGGUCUGUGGAUUGUAAACCUCUUUUGAUAGGGAAGAAGGAAGUGACGGUACCUAUCGAAUCAGCCUCGGCUAACACCGUGUCAGCAGCCGCGGUAAU